rnacentral:snoRNA from 1 species
UGCAGCUGUGUCAAAUUCAGUGUCUGCCCUGUCCAUGGCAGGCACUGGCCCAGAAGGCUGCCACAGAAACACUGUGACUCAUGGGCCCUGUUCCCUUCACCUGGGCUCAGGGAUAAAUUUGAUCACAGACACUA